rnacentral:rRNA from 1 species
UACGGAGGGUGCAAGCGUUAUCCGGAUUCACUGGGUUUAAAGGGUGCGUAGGAGGGCAGGUAAGUCAGUGGUGAAAUCUUCAAGCUUAACUUGGAACUGCCGUUGAUACUAUCUGUCUUGAAUACCGUGGAGGUGAGCGGAAUAUGUCAUGUAGCGGUGAAAUGCUUAGAUAUGACAUAGAACACCAAAUUGCGAAGGCAGCUCGCUACACGAAUAUUGACUCUGAGGCACGAAAGCGUGGGGAUCAAACAGG